UAUACAUAUUAAAUGAAUUUUUUAAUAUUACGGGAUUUGAGCCAAAGUUACGGAUUUGGCAGAAGUUAAUUUUCCAUUAUCUCAAGGAGGCAUAAAGAUUGGCAGCUGAUAAAGCGAGAAUCACCAGUGCAGAUGCUACAGUUGAUGGUCUGUAGCACAAGUGCUCAUGACCCAGCAAAGCUAGUACUGCCAGGUAAGGCAAAAUCAUGAAAUUUCAGAUCUUGAGCAACUGUACAACAUGGUUAAUCUUUGUACCAUAAGAAGUUGUAUAUUGUUGGAAGAAAGCACUGGAAGUUGAGGACCUCCUGCACCAGCCACUCCAUAGCCACCACUUCAGAACAGCUAUAUGCAGUGCCUGCAACAACGAAUGUCUUCUGACGAAUGCUGAAACAGAAGUUGUGAACUUGUCAAAUAAGUAGCUUUUUUGCAAAUGACACCUAAGCAGAUUAGUAUGCUUUAAUAAUGAUAGGGAAUGUUAAAUAUAAAGACUUUUGAAUUGUGUAAUGUCCUGAGUCUCGUCAAUUUGAGCUUUCCUUUCUGAAAUUUUUGCUAUAUUUCCCAGUAAGUAACAUCGCAGAAAAUGAAUGCAAGGUAAUUUGCAAUAGCUGAACUCCCUCAGAUUUUACAUUUGAUUUCAAGCUCUUUCUCAAUGCACUUUCUUUAGCCAAUUCAUUCUGAUACUCUAGUGGCUCUCAAUUGAAGAAGGCCUAAAUAAUAUCA